rnacentral:rRNA from 1 species
UAAUACGUAGGGUGCAAGCGUUGUCCGGAAUUAUUGGGCGUAAAGAGCUCGUAGGCGGUUUGUCGCGUCUGCUGUGAAAUCCCGAGGCUCAACCUCGGGCCUGCAGUGGGUACGGGCAAACUAGAGUGUGGUAGGGGAGAUUGGAACCUCCUGGUGUAGCGGUGGAAUGCGCAGAUAUCAGGAAGAACACCGAUGGCGAAGGCAGAUCUCUGGGCCAUUACUGACGCUGAGGAGCGAAAGCGUGGGAGCGAACAGGAUUAGAUACCCUGGUAGUCCACGCCGUAAACGUUGGGAACUAGAUGUAGGGUCCAUUCCACGGAUUCUGUGUCGCAGCUAACGCAUUAAGUUCCCCGCCUGGGGAGUACGGCCGCAAGGCUAAAACUCAAAGGAAUUGACGGGGGCCCGCACAAGCGGCGGAGCAUGCGGAUUAAUUCGAUGCAACGCGAAGAACCUUACCAAGGCUUGACAUAUACCGGAAAAGCGUAGAAAUACGCUCCCCGUAAGGUCGGUAUACAGGU